GGCAGUGCCAUUCUUGACUCAAAUUCAUUUGGCAGUAGAAGUGGUUAUAUUCAGGGACCAAAUUCUAAAAACCAUUCUGUAUCAAAGAGACAUUCUCGCAGGCUCUCUUACUAAGAUUAUCAGAAAGUGAUUUCUACUUAAGAGUGGUGGUGAAUCCUAGAUCCUCUUGUAGACGUUUUCCCUUCAUACUCUAGAAAUAAUAACUCCAACCUAAGAUAG
rnacentral:misc_RNA from 1 species